AAGUCGUAACAAGGUUUCCGUAGGUGAACCUGCGGAAGGAUCAUUACCGAGUCCGGGCUCCCCGCGAGCCCUCACUCCCACCCGUGUCUACCGUUACCGCGUUGCUUUGGCGGGCCCACUGGAGCCUGUCGGCCUGGUCGCCGGGGGGCUGUUGCCCCCGGGCCCGCGCCCGCCGAAGCGCCCUUGAACCCUGCGUGAAUAGUGAGUCUGAGUCUCGAUUGAAUCGUUAAAACUUUCAACAACGGAUCUCUUGGUUCCG
rnacentral:misc_RNA from 1 species